rnacentral:rRNA from 1 species
UACGUAGGUGGCAAGCGUUGUCCGGAUUUAUUGGGUUUAAAGGGUGCGUAGGCGGUCAUGUAAGUCAGCGGUGAAAUCCGGCAGCUCAACUGUCGAUGUGCCAUUGAUACUGCAUGACUUGAGUACUGAUGAGGCGGCGGAAUUGACGGUGGUAGCGGUGAAAUGCUUAGAUAUCGUCAAGAACACCGAUAGCGAAGGCAGCUUACUAAGCAGUAACUGACGCUGAGGCACGAA